UAGAGAAAAGACAGAAAGAAAAGCAGAAAGUUGGCAGACCAAACAUUUGAGGAAGGAGAAUAAGAGAAGACAUUAAUCUUACAUUAAAAGGACAGUCGUCAUCAUUAGACAAUUCAAAAGUUUCUGACCUUUUUUGGUAAAGUUUUAAUGAAAAAUUUGCUAUUUGUGCAAUGUUGCAAAUCAAACAAGGCCACAGUGUAUCUUUGUUUGAUUCACUCAUUGGGCAAACAUUUCCUUAGCACUUACUGUGAGACAAGUCCUCUCCUGGGUAUCGGGUUUGGAGCAGGCAAAGCUCUUGCCUUGCCCCAUGGGAACUGGGUCCCAUUCUAAAGGGGAGGCAGCAAACAGGUGAAGAAGCAUGCUGUGUGUGAGAUGGUGGCAGAGAUCGCUAAAGGAGAUGAGAGGGCGCACGUGCUUUAAAAGAAGCAGCCGAGAGACUCCACCGAGGUGACCAGAUCCAAGGAAAAGAGGAAGCCACUCAUGAACACUGAUGAAGAAGAGACCCUGCGACUGUGGGGGACUGAGUGACCAAGGGGGUAGGAAGAGAGACAGGGCUGAGAAGGAAAGGCCCUGUGAGGACUAUGAGCACGGAAGUGGCGUUUUCCAGCUUGGAUUUUAAUGUCGCAAGUGCUGUUGUUAAGAGCAUUCUAAGGAGGAGUGGGACGACAAGAGCCUUUAAUCCCAGCACCCAGGAGGCAGAGCUGCAUUUCACUUGUGAGUGACAAUGACCUGAACUGACCAAGGACUCCCACAUACUAAUGUCUAGCAUCUCUAGACGCUGAGAGCACACCGCUUCUCCCCUUGUUUAUACAAUCAUGACGCACUUCUUUGUGGGCUGGAGAAAGGGGAAGAAGGAUCGUGGGAAAUGGACAGUCAGGUCUCCGGGCAAGAGGAUGAGUUUCCCAGCACGAGUCUCCUCACUUUUCCUCCUGGACAACCCAGUACGAAAACAAAACGUAUUCGAUUCCAUACCGGGUAGAGAAUGCCACCAGCCGUGAGGAACCACGUUCAAGACAGCCGUGAGGAACCACAUUAAAGAAUAAUCAGGUACAGCCAUGACUCUCUGAAACCUGAACAGAGACUCCGUCCCACUCACCGCCCUCCAGACCUGACUCAUCCAUUUUACUAGCUGCCAACACGUCAUCUCCCCUUGGAUGUCAGGCCCAACAGGCCCCAGCUUCGUGUGGGUUUAUUGGAAUGGACCCUAAGGAUCAGCCAAGGAGCAUUUGUACAAUCAGACGCUCACAAAACGAUCAGAAAGGCAAGGAAAAUCAGCUUCAAAGGUCUACAAAUGAUCGCCGUGAUUGCCUACCGAGUUAGCUGAGGUCGGGAAACAGAAAUAGAGAAACCACGCUCAAGCUGGUCAGAGCUCCUUCAAAGCUGACAUUUAAGAGUUUCCAACCCAAGUUAAAAUACCUUAACUUUAUACUGUAAGCAUCUUCAUUUUAAAAUAAAAUAUUGAGAUACUUUUUAAAAAAAUCGAUCUAAUGGGCCAGGAGUGGUGGCUCACUCCUUUAAUCCCAGCACUCAAGAGGCAGAGGCAGGCUGUUCUCUGAGUUUGACACCAGCCUGGUCUACACACCUAGUUCCAAGACAGCCAGAGCUACACAGAAAAACCUUGUCUCAAAAAGUAAAAAUCAGGAGCUGGAGAGAUGGCUCAGUGGUUAAGAGCACUGGCUGUUCUUCCAGAGGAUCUGGGUUCAAUUUCCAGCACCCAUCUGGCAGCUCACAACUGUCUAUAACUCCUGUUCCAGGGGAUCCAACACCCUUACACAGAUAUACAUGUAGGCAAAACACCAAUGUAGAUAAAAUACAAAUAAAUAAAUUAUUAAAACAAUCGGACAAAAUACCCCCCAAACAAAAAUCUAUCUAAUAGGAUCUAAUAUCCCAUCAUCUAUUUUUAAUGCAUGAACAAGCUGCUCUUUAACCAGAGGUUUCUCUUUCCUUUCUCUUCUUCAGCUCAUAUUCUGUUCUAUUUCCAUCAAAGAAUUUGACUCUGUUCUAUAUUUUA